rnacentral:lncRNA from 1 species
AGGCCCGGGCGUGUGCCAGGAUCAUGGCCGUGAGUGUCUCUGCUGUGGGCAGCUUUGGCUCACACUGAGCUUUCAUGACCUUGCUCUGAGCAGAGACACUGGCGAGGCCAAGGGCUCCGUCCUCAUCCUGCUGAGAGAUCAUUUUAUCUCCUCCGCCGCCUUCUCAGCCAUUUGAUCCCAUACCACCGCUUCACUCCUGGGAAAGGAUCUACCAUAUUUUGAAGAUCCAAUGUUUUGGAUUGCCAUAUGGAGAGAGAUGAGGAACUCUAUGUCCUGAAGUUGACAGGUACUUCCGAGUCUUUCCUUUGCUAGAUUAUGGGCUGACAUAAAAGAACCCAGGUUGUCAAAGAUCUUGGAAGUUGACUUCUUAUCAGCAUCUCCUGUGAGAUUUGAAUAAAAGAAUAAUCGGGACCUCAACAAGAGAGAUUGUGAAGUAACUGGUCCAGCUUUCUCACAGAGAAAAGACUUGGUAGGCGGGAACGCUAUGUGUUCGUCUGGAGAUAAAGUGCAGGCAUUGCCCCAGGUCCUGGUGACGUUUGAGGAAGAGGAGGGGGAGGUGUCACUCUGGAGAGGAAGAAACCACCAGCACCAGGAUUUCCUGCUCACAGGCUAAUUGGGUGUCCUGUGGAAACCUCAUUGUGCUGAGCUCCUGAAGAUGGAUGUCAAUGAAGAAUCUCCUCAGCACUUUCUGUGGGGCUAUCCUGUAACCACUGAAUCCCUCUGCUAACUGCUGGCUCUCAGGUUUUCUGUGGAAAGGAUGCUAAAGAGUGGGAAAUUUAACAACAGAGAAGCUGUAGCUCCAGGAUAAUCACCCCCUUUUCCAGGUCUGUCUGUAGACCUCUAGACAGUCUGCAUCACGUCGAACCACCCCUCUCUCUCCUUCUUAAUCAGGGCUAAGAGAGGUCUAGCCUUUCCCUGCUCUUUCCAUUAGAGGGAAAGACGUUCAUUUCUUUCUUUGUGAAAGCGUCUCACAUAGCUCAAGCUUGAAGUAGGAACUUCUAGUUUCUUUGGAAAGACAGUUAUGUCAAAUGAUGUUGUGUUGGGGCACUCAGGUGAAAGGAUGGAUGUCUUGCUAAAGCAGACAUGUGAAAGAAUGUGUUCCUGAAGCAGACAUGGGUAAAAGGAUGUUUUGAUAUAGCAGACAUGUGAAAGGAUGUGUGAUGGAGGAGUAUAAAUAUGACCCCGCAGACAGUGGGAGGCGAGCACUGAGCAUUGGUUUGGUUUGCUUCAACUUGCUAUUCUUCUCUUCUUCACUGAGUAUUGUUUUGCCGUACACCAUCUUGCAUCUUGUUGCGCUUCGCUUGUGGUAGCACCACCAUCGAGAGAAACUCACCAAAGAACUCCUGGUGAGAUUCUCACAGCUUCUUGCUGCUUCAGUGACCUCAGGCCAGUGGUUGAGCCUUGGGGUUUCCUCGGGAUGGAAUGAACUACAGCUGCUUGUUCAUGUGUGGUAUCUGCCUGGUGAGAGGACUAGACUGUAUCUGCUGAUUCGCAUUUGGUGUUUGCUAUGGGACUGAACUGCUGAUAAAGAAGAUUGAGCCUGACCCCAAAGAACUAUUUCUAAACAGGUCCACUUUCCCCAUAUCCAAUUAACUUUCGUCUUCCACUGCCUCUGGUGGGUGGUGGACAAGUGGAGAGGUUGGAUGUUUAUUAAACGAAGGUUGAAAAUAAUUUAUGCCUACACAAGAUGGCCUCAAAUCCACAGUGGAGCUGAUGGUGACCUUGAGUCCCUGAUUCACCACUUCCCAAUCAUUGUGCCUGUGCCACCAUCUCUGUUUGAGAAUGUUAAUAUCCUACUUCAGUAAAGAGAUAGCAAGGCUAGCUGUUACAGGUGUGUGGAGAGGGAGUGGCUGCUUAGCUGUACCCCUCCUUCAUCCCACAGAGAACUGGCCCCCAUGGUCUGUAAAGACAUUCUGCCUUUAGAGCCGCAUGAAUGAGGUAAGUUCUACUUCUAUUUAUUUUUCUGUUAGAUCAAACACAACUUAAAUAUUUUUUAUGCUAGUAUUUGCCUACAUGCUUGCAUGUACACUAUAUGUGUACAGUGCCUGAGGGGGCCAGAAACACAUCUUACCCAGAAUUCCCAGUGACCACACCUAUCAGGACCCCAGAAGAAGUCUCUACCAGGCAACAUACAGCCACUUCUCUCUCCUAAGAUUAAAAGAGGGCAACAGAAAUCAAGGAAGAAUCACAUACCCAAAGAAGACAAGAGCAAAUAUAAGCACCUACAGUUAGAAUUUUCCCAAGCCCAAAUGUCUGGACACCAGGGUUAAAACAUAGCCGAUAGCAGACAGGACCUUAUGUCUGAACUAGAGCCCAGCAGCCUACCACAUUAGGCCUUGAGAGUUGCAGCAGGGAUUCUUAGAGAGGAAAUGAAUAAAUCCCUCAAAGACAUCUGUGCAAACACAAACAGUGGAAGGAAAUGAAUAAAACAGUUCAAAGCCUGAAAGUGGAAAUGGAAUCAAUAAGGAAAACCCAACACUGAGAGAAAUCUGGAUAAUGAAAAAAAAUGUAGGAACUAGGACAGGAACCUCAGAGGCAAACCUCACCAGCAGAAUACAAGAGAUGGAAGACAAUCUCAGAAAUCAAAUGGAUACCUCAGUCAAAAAAUGCUAAAUUUAAAAAACUCCUGGCACAAAACAUUCAUGGUGGGUGGUUCCACUCCUGGGCUGAUGGUCUUGGGUUCCAUAAGAAAGUAGGCUGAGCAAACCAUGAGGAAUAAGCACCCUUUCAUGGUGUCAGCAUCACCUCCUGCAGCCCCGUUUCUGCCCUGUUUGAGUUUCUGCGCUGAUUUCCUUAAGUGAUGAGAGCAAUAUGGAAGUGUAAGCCAAAUAAAAUAUUCCCCCCCCCGG